rnacentral:tRNA from 1 species
GGAGAGUUACUCAAGAGGUCGAAGAGGCGUCCCUGCUAAGGAUGUAGGCGUUUUACGGCGCGCGAGGGUUCAAAUCCCUCACUCUCCGCCA